rnacentral:tRNA from 1 species
GCCUCUGUGGCGGAACUGGUAUACGCGUACGCUUUAGGAGCGUAUCCCGUAAGGGUUGGAGGUUCAAAUCCUCCCAGAGGCA